GUCGCCUAGUGGUUAGAGCGUCCGCCUCGGAUGCGGGAGGUCGUGGGUUCUAUCCAAAGCCGAAUCAUACCAAAGACU